rnacentral:rRNA from 1 species
GAUGAACGCUGGCGGCGUGCCUAAUACAUGCAAGUCGAGCGAACAGACGAGGAGCUUGCUCCUCUGACGUUAGCGGUGGACGGGUGAGUAACACGUGGAUAACCUACCUAUAAGACUGGGAUAACUUCGGGAAACCGGAGCUAAUACCGGAUAACAUGUUGAACCGCAUGGUUCAACAGUGAAAGAACGUCUUGCUGUCACUUAUAGAUUGAUCCGCGCCGCAUUAGCUAGUUGGUAAGGUAACGGCUUAACAAGGCAACGAUGCGUAGCCGACCUGAGAGGGUGAUCGGCCACACUGGAACUGAGACACGGUCCAGACUCCUACGGGAGGCAGCAGUAGGGAAUCUUCCGCAAUGGGCGAAAGCCUGACGGAGCAACGCCGCGUGAGUGAAGAAGGUCUUCGGAUCGUAAAACUCUGUUAUUAGGGAAGAACAAAUGUGUAAGUAACUAUGCACGUCUUGACGGUACCUAAUCAGAAAGCCACGGCUAACUACGUGCCAGCAGCCGCCGUAA